UCCCCGUUAUCCGGGGCGGUUUCACUAGAGUGCUCGGCUUGACCCGAUGGCAACACAGGACAGGGGUUGCGCUCGUUGCGGGACUUAAACCAACAUCUCACGACACGAGCUGACGACAGCCAUGCAGCACCUGUGUAGGGCCCUUGCGGACACCGUGUCUCCACGGCUUUUCCCUACAUGUCAAGCCCUGGUAAGGUUCUUCGCGUCGCGUCGAAUUAAGCAACAUGCUCCGCCGCUUGUGCGGGCCCCCGUCAAUUUCUUUGAGUUUUAACCUUGCGGCCGUACUCCCCAGGCGGAUAACUUAAUGCGUUAGCUGCGCCACCGAAAGCCUAAGGCCCCCGACAGCUAGUUAUCAUCGUUUACGGCGUGGACUAC
rnacentral:misc_RNA from 1 species